rnacentral:rRNA from 1 species
AGCGAACGUUUGCGGCGGGCCUAACACAUGCAAGUCGAACGGGCAGGGGCAACCCUGUCAGUGGCGCACGGGUGCGUAACACGUGGGUAAUCAACCCUUUGGACUGGGACAACCCGGGGAAACUCGGGCUAAUACCGGAUGUGGCGUGGCGGUCCUCGGACUGCUCCGCGAAAGCUCCGCAAGGGGCACCAGAGGACGAGCCCGCGUCCCAUCAGCUAGUUGGUGAGGUAAUGGCUCACCAAGGCGAAGACGGGUAGCUGGUCUGAGAGGAUGAUCAGCCACACUGGAACUGAGACACGGUCCAGACUCCGUACGGGAGGCAGCAGGUGGGGAAUAUUGCGCAAGUGGGACGAAAGCCUGACGCAGCCACGCCGCGUGUGCGAUGAAGGUCUUCGGAUCGUAAAGCACUGGUGGGGGAGAAGAAACAAGCCGGUGAAGAGCCGGCCCUGACGGUACUCCCCUUAGCAAGCACCGGCUAACUCCGUGCCAGCAGCCG